rnacentral:lncRNA from 1 species
AUGAAGAGCUUUAAAAAAUUUAUAAUAUGCUUAUUUAAUUAUUCCUACAAAAAGGUGAAGUAUAUUAUAGGAAAAACUUUUUGUACCAUGUUUUUGUUCAUGUAUUGAGGCAAUGUUCCUUUAAUAGGUUGCUUUUGAAUCUAUGUUUGGUCGUAUUAUGUGAGGCGUAGUUAACUUCAUUAGUAACUAACAUAACAUAUGUCCUACUUGAUCAUAAAUAUUUAAUUGUGCUUUAUAUUCGUACAUAAUUUUACGAUGGUAGAAUUGUUAUCACAUUUUCCCUUACGAAAGGAUAAAUAAAAAUAAUAAUCCAAUUAUUUACAAGGAAAAAAGUAAUCUAAAGUUUGUCAAAUUGCAUUCAAUUUUAUUGAUUAUUAUUUUGAUCACAUGAAGUCCUUUAAUGUGCGCUAAAUGAAAAAUAAUAACACAUUGAUAUAUUUAAGAGAUAUUUACUAAUAAUUCUAAAAUUAUGAAGAGCAUUUAAAAAUUUAUAAUGCUUAAACUAUUUAAUUAUUUCUACAACAAGGUGGAGUAUGUUUGUGAUUGUUAAAAAACUUAUUUAUUGUUCAUUUGGCCAUUCAUAAGAUUAUAGGAAAAACUUUUUAUAACAUGUUUUUGUUCAUGUGUUGAGGCAAUGUUCCUUCAAAAUGUUGCUUUUUAAUCUAUGCUUGGUCGUAUUAUGUAAGGCGUAGUUAACUUCAUUAGUAAUUAAGAUAACAUACGUCCUACUUGUUCAUAAAUAUUUAAUUGUGCUUUCUAUUCGU